AGUUCGGCUGGAUCGGUGACAGGUGCUGCAUGGCUGUCGUCAGCUCGUGUCGUGAGAUGUUGGGUUAAGUCCCGCAACGAGCGCAACCCUUGUCCUUAGUUGCCAGCAUUAAGUUGGGCACUCUAAGGAGACUGCCGGUGUUAAACCGGAGGAAGGUGGGGGAUGACGUCAAGUCCUCAUGGCCCUUAUGUCCAGGGCUACACACGUGCUACAAUGGCCGGUACAAAGGGCAGCGACACAGCGAUGUGAAGCCAAUCCCGAAAAGCCGGUCUCAGUCCGGAUUGGAGUCUGCAACUCGACUCCAUGAAGUUGGAAUCGCUAGUAAUCGCGGAUCAGCACGCCGCGGUGAAUACGUUCCGGCCUU
rnacentral:rRNA from 1 species